rnacentral:rRNA from 1 species
CCCUUAGAUGUUCUGGGCCGCACGCGCGCUACACUGACGAAUGCAACGAGCUUAUAACCUUGGCCGAAAGGUCUGGGUAAUCUCCAAAUUUCGUCGUGAUGGGGAUAGAUUAUUGCAAUUAUUAAUCUUCAACGAGGAAUGCCUAGUAAGCGCAAGUCAUCAGCUUGCGUUGAUUACGUCCCUGCCCUUUGUACACACCGCCCGUCGCUCCUACCGAUUGAAUGGUCCGGUGAAGCGUUCGGACCGUGGCCUUUGGACGGUUCGCCGUCUGUUGGCUGCGGGAAGUUCGUUAAACCAUAUCAUUUAGAGGAAGGUGAANUCGUANCA